rnacentral:rRNA from 1 species
AGUGAACGCUGGCGGUAGGCCUAACACAUGCAAGUCGAACGGCAGCACAGUAAGAGCUUGCUCUUACGGGUGGCGAGUGGCGGACGGGUGAGGAAUACAUCGGAAUCUACUUUUUCGUGGGGGAUAACGUAGGGAAACUUACGCUAAUACCGCAUACGACCUACGGGUGAAAGCAGGGGAUCUUCGGACCUUGCGCGAUUGAAUGAGCCGAUGUCGGAUUAGCUAGUUGGCGGGGUAAAGGCCCACCAAGGCGACGAUCCGUAGCCGGUCUGAGAGGAUGAUCAGCCACACUGGAACUGAGACACGGUCCAGACUCCUACGGGAGGCAGCAGUGGGGAAUAUUGGACAAUGGGCGCAAGCCUGAUCCAGCCAUACCGCGUGGGUGAAGAAGGCCUUCGGGUUGUAAGGCCCUUUUGUUGGGAAAGAAAAGCAGCAGGUUAAUACCCCGCUGUUCUGACGGUACCCAAAGAAUAAGCACCGGCUAACUUCGUG